rnacentral:rRNA from 1 species
UACAGAGGGUGCGAGCGUUAAUCGGAUUUACUGGGCGUAAAGGGCUCGUAGGCGGCCAACUAAGUCAGACGUGAAAUCCCUCGGCUUAACCGGGGAACUGCGUCUGAUACUGGAUGGCUUGAGUGUGGGAGAGGGAUGCGGAAUUCCAGGUGUAGCGGUGAAAUGCGUAGAUAUCUGGAGGAACACCGGUGGCGAAGGCGGCAUCCUGGACCAUUACUGACGCUGAGUGAGCGAAAGCCAGGGGAGCAAACAGG